rnacentral:rRNA from 1 species
GACGAACGCUGGCGGCGUGCUUAACACAUGCAAGUCGAACGAAGUGGCGAACGGGUGAGUAACGCGUAAUCAACCUGCCCUUCAGAGGGGGACAACAGUUGGAAACGACUGCUAAUACCGCAUACUGAAGGAGGGGAUUGCGUCUGAUUGGCUAGUUGGAGGGGUAACGGCCCACCAAGGCGAUGAUCAGUAGGCGGUCUGGGAGGAUGAACGGCCAAAUGGGGACUGGGAAACGGGCCAGAAUCCUACGGGAGGCAGCAGUGGGGAAACUUCGGAAAUGGAGGAAAGUCUGACGGAGCAACGGUGCGGGAGUGAUGAAGGCCUUCGGGUUGUAAAGCUAUGUUAAUCGGGACGCGGUACCGGAAGAGAAAGCCACGGCUAACUACGUGCCAGCAGCCGCGGUAAUAC